GAUGAACGCUGGCGGCGCGCCUAACACAUGCAAGUCGAACGAUUAAAGCACCUUCGGGUGUGUAUAAAGUGGCGAACGGCUGAGUAACACGUGGGCAACCUGCCCCUUUCAUUGGGAUAGCCACGGGAAACCGUGGAUAAUACCGAAUACUUCGAGACUUCCGCAUGGAAGACUCGAGAAAGCUCCGGCGGAGAGGGAUGGGCCCGCGGCCUGUUAGCUUGUUGGUGGGGUAACGGCCUACCAAGGCAAUGAUGGGUAGCUGGGUUGAGAGACCGACCAGCCAGAUUGGGACUGAGACACGGCCCAGACUCCUACGGGAGGCGGCAGUGGGGAAUCUUGCACAAUGGGCGAAAGCCUGAUGCAGCGACGCCGCGUGCGGGAUGAAGGCCUUCGGGUUGUAAACCGCUUUCAGCAGGGACGAGGCGAAAGUGACGGUACCUGCAGAAGAAGCCCCGGCUAACUACGUG
rnacentral:rRNA from 1 species